GGCAGUGGUGGCAUGGUGGUUAUGGCUUUGGGUUACUGAUCGGAAAGUUGUGGGUUCAAGCCUCAGCACUGCCA